UACGAAGGGUGCAAACGUUGCUCGGAAUUAUUGGGCGUAAAGCGCACGUAGGCGGCUUAGCAAGUCGGAAGUGAAAUCCCACGGCUCAACCAUGGAAGUGCUUUCGAAACUGCUGAGCUUGAGUACGAAAGAGGAUCGCGGAAUUCCCGGUGUAGAGGUGAAAUUCGUAGAUAUCGGGAGGAACAUCAGUGGCGAAGGCGGCCCUCUGGUCCAGUACUGACACUCAAGUGCGAAAGCGUGGGGAGCAAACAGG
rnacentral:rRNA from 1 species